ACUUGAAUAGCUUAUAUUAAGAGCAUGACACUGAAGAUGUUAAGGAAAUAUUUAUAUUUUCAAGUA
rnacentral:tRNA from 1 species